UACGAAGGGGGCUAGCGUUGUUCGGAAUUACUGGGCGUAAAGCGCACGUAGGCGGGUUGUUAAGUCAGGGGUGAAAUCCUGGAGCUCAACUCCAGAACUGCCUUUGAUACUGGCAACCCUAGAGACUGGAAGAGGUUAGUGGAAUUCCCCAGUGUAGAGGUGAAAUUCGUAGAUAUUGGGAAGAACACCAGUGGCGAAGGCGGCUAACUGGUCCAGCACUGACGCUGAGGUGCGAAAGCGUGGGGAGCAAACAGGAUUGAGAA
rnacentral:rRNA from 1 species